UAGUAAAAAUUUCAUUUAUUUUUACUAUUAAAAAUUGGUGCUACUAACCGAAUAACCAGACAGUUGCACAUAAUGUGCCAUGUGUACCUCAUUCUCACAUAUAAUGACCAAUUUUUAAUAGUAAAAACGGAUGAGAUUUUUAACA
rfam:Gossypium arboreum cultivar AKA8401 contig_9045_1, whole genome shotgun sequence.